rnacentral:rRNA from 1 species
GUGCCAGCCGCGGCGGUAAUACGAAGGGGCUAGCGUUGUUCGGAAUUACUGGGCGUAAAGCGCACGUAGGCGGACUAUUAAGUCAGGGGUGAAAUCCCGGGGCUCAACCUCGGAACUGCCUUUGAUACUGGUAGUCUCGAGUCCGAGAGAGGUGAGUGGAAUUCCGAGUGUAGAGGUGAAAUUCGUAGAUAUUCGGAGGAACACCAGUGGCGAAGGCGGCUCACUGGCUCGGUACUGACGCUGAGGUGCGAAAGCGUGGGAGCAAACAGGAUUAGAUACCCUGGUAGUCCACGCCGUAAACGAUGGAAGCUAGCCGUCGGCAAG